rnacentral:snRNA from 1 species
GAUAGUUCCUGUUUACUGGUAAAAUUAGAAUGAAAAAAGACUAGCAUGGUCUCUGUGUAAGGUUGAUAUCCACAUUCAAGAAGGAUUCCAUAUUUUC